UACAGAGGUCUCAAGCGUUGUUCGGAUUCAUUGGGCGUAAAGGGUGCGUAGACGGCGCGGUAAGUCGGGUGUGAAAUCUUGGAGCUUAACUCCGAAACUGCAUUCGAUACUGCCGUGCUUGAGGACUGGAGAGGAGACUGGAAUUUACGGUGUAGCGGUGAAAUGCGUAGAUAUGCGGAGGAACACCGAUGGCGAAGGCAAUCCCCUGGGCCUGCACUGACGCUCAUGCACGAAAGCGUGGGGAGCAAACAGG
rnacentral:rRNA from 1 species